CUGCAUCCCAAAACCAGUCCAACCUGUCUCUGCCUCCCUAACCUGUUCUUCCUCUCAGCCAUCCCUUCCUCCCACCCCAAGCCGCACCCCCAGCUACCUACUAACCUCAUCCCACCUCCUUGACCUGUCCGUCUUCCCUGGACUGACCUUUUCUCUCCUCUCCACCUUCGGUCCGCCUCCCCCUCUCUCCCUAUUUAUUCCAGUUCCCUCUCCCCGUCCCCCUCUCUGAUGAAGGGUCUAGGCCCGAAACGUCAGCUUUUGUGCUCCUGAGAUACUGCUUGGCCUGCUGUGCUCAUCCAGCCUCACAUUUUAUUAUUUUAGGAGAGAGAGCUGUUUUGGUUUGUGAUACAAGAGACGAGGCUGUCUAUGCCUUUCACCCAUCGGUAGCUCUCCUCCUGUCCCUGCCUCUAUGCACACACUCUGCCAGGCAUAGUCUUCCUCCCUCUGUGUGUGUGUGUGUGUGUGUGUGUGUCUCUCUCUCGCUUCAGCUCCUAAAACCUAAGAUGCAUCGGAUAAAAACACGCACAUAAACACACACACACACAUCAACAAGCCAUGGAGAAAGAUCAGGAAUUACUGCAAGCUGUCAAAACCGAAGAUGUAGCUGCAAUGCAGAAGCUGUUGCAAAGGCCGAAACAAGGCAAAGCGAAACCAUACGAUUAGACUGUUUUGAUGAGAAAUUUAAAGAUUACGUGUCCCAUCCGUUUGACUCACAGUUUGGUACCAUAGGUUGGUACGAUCUUCGUUGGAGAAGGAAAAGGGAUGUUCCAGAUACAGAAAACCGUCAAACCAUUUGCAACAAAGUCCAUUUCUGAGAAGGAGCGGGAGCACCGGAGGAAGUGACGAGGACUAGAGGGGCAGCCGGGAAGGAAAGCAGUGAGUAUAAAUACUCACCCUUCGACGCCAACGGCCAUUUUGAGUGCGAGCAGCAGCGGAGGCAAGACGGACCCGGAAGACUGCAGCUAAGGUAAAGCAGUUUAUUUUUAAAAUUACUUACCGGUAGCGGGCAGCGGUGUUUUUUUUUCCUCUUUCAGAGAAGGAGCGGGAGCACCAGAGGAAGUGACGAGGACAAGAGGGGCAGCCGGGAAGGAAAGCAGUGACCAUAUAUAUCAGCAAGGCGGCAAAACCUGAGACUCUACAACUGUAGAGUCUCCCACCCGCCCUCCUCCUCUAACCUAGUUAAUAAGAACCAUACGAUGAGACUGUUUUGAUGAGGAAUUGAAAGAUUAUGUGUCCCAUCCAUUUGACUCACAGUUUGGUACCAUGGGUUGGUACGAUCUUCGUUGGAGAAGGAAAAGGGAUGUUCCAGAUACAGAAAAUCGUCAAACCAUUUACGACAAAGUCCGUUUCUGGGUGGAGUUAGUGGAACCGAAAAAGAUGUCUCCCUCACAGUGUUUGUGACAAAAGAAUUGCAUCGUUCCUUGGCGGCCUUUCAACAGAAUAUUCAGAGAUUUCCCGAGUGGGAAGAAUGACACAAUCAUCGCCUUGGAAGCUUCAUCACGAUACUACUUUGCAUUUCUGAAGAGGGAAGAAGAAAUCAACAUGCAAAUUCAAUUCCAUGGUUUUGGAAGUCCCAUUGAGAACACGAUUCAUUUGCGCCGGCACAAUGCUCUGACCGAGAAAGAAUUGAAGUUUCCACUUGGAAGAAAGAUUCACAUCAAAUUGACUGGUCAAGUAAAUGGGACACUGACU